rnacentral:rRNA from 1 species
AACAAACGCUGGCGGCGUGCCUAAUACAUGCAAGUCGAACGAGGUAGCAAUACCUAGUGGCGCACGGGAGAGUAAUACAUGGAUAAUCUGCCUUAGAGUGGGGGAUAACUUUCCGAAAGGAGAGCUAAUACCGCAUAAGACCACAAGCUCUGCGGAGCAAGGGGUUAAAGGUUUUUCGCUCUAAGAUGAGUCCACGCUCGAUUAGUUAGUUGGUAGGGUAAUGGCCUACCAAGGCUUCGAUCGAUAGCUGAUCUGAGAGGAUGAUCAGCCUCACUGGAACUGAGACACGGUCCAGACUCCUACGGGAGGCAGCAGUAGGGAAUAUUGCACAAUGGAGGAAACUCUGAUGCAGCGACGCCGCGUGAGCGAUGAAGGCCUUCGGGUUGUAAAGCUCUGUUGUACGGGAAGAACACAAUGACGGUACCGUAUAAGAAAGGACCGGCUAACUUCGUGCCAGCCGCCGCAGUAACAC